AGAGAGUGCUGCUGAUGUGCACUGCAUCAGAUGGAAAGAGAGGGACAGCGCUCCUUCCUGCAGCACUUGUGCUGGUAGCUCACUGUAGAGCUGGUGGAUUAUUCCUGAGGAUGUGUUCAAGCCCCUGUUACAAUUCCUAGUUCCACGGUUAUAACGCAAAUUGCAGACGUAAGAGAAGAUGUGUUAAGAUAUCAUCUCUAUUAUGGAUAAAAAUGAAGUUUCUACGAGUUUUCACACUCAUCAGAACGACGAGGAGAUAAUCAGGUGUUUCUCCUGCAGCUUCUAAACAACAAUUCAAUGU
ensembl:lncRNA